rnacentral:rRNA from 1 species
UCCCGUUGAUCCUGCGGGAGAUUGCUGCUAUGAGGAUUCGACUAAGCCAUGCAAGUCUGAUAGCAAAAUCGGCGAAAGGCUCAGUAACACGUCAUUAAUCUGCCCAUAGGUCGGGGAUAACCUCGGAAAACUGAGGCUAAACCCUGAUAGGAUAUUAUGCCUGGAAUGGUUUUUAUCCUAAACUCGCGCCUAUGGAUGAGACGGCGGCCGAUUAGGCUGUUGGUGAGGUAAAGGCUCACCAAACCAUUGAUCGGUACGGGCCCUGAGAGGGGUAGCCCGGAGAGGGACACUGAGAAACUGGUCCCAGCCCCACGGGGUGCAGCAGGCGCGUAACCUUUACAAUGCACGCAAGUGUGAUAAGGGGAUCCUCAGUGCUUAUGUUUUACAUAGGCUUUUGUCAAGAGUAAAAAUCUUGGAGAAUAAGUGGUGGGAAAGACUGGUGCCAGCCGCCGCGGUAACACCAGCGCCACGAGUGGCAAUCAGUAUUAUUGGGCCUAAAGCGUCCGUAGCCGGUUUGAUAAAUCUCUUGUGAAAUUGUUGGGCCUAACCUAACGAAUGGCUUGAGACACUGUUAGACUAGGGACCGGGAGGAGUCAGAGGUAUUCUUGGGGGAGCGGUAAAAUGCUUUAAUCCUUUGAAGACCACCUAUGGCGAAGGCAUCUGACCAGAACGGAUCCGACGGUGAGGGACGAAAGCUAGGGGAGCGAACCGGAUUAGAUACCCGAGUAGUCCUAGCUGUAAACGCUGUGAGCAAGGUGUUGCGUAUUCUACGUGAAUGCGCAGUGUCGAAAUGAAGAUGUUAAGCUCACCGCCUGGGAAGUACGGUCGCAAGGCUGAAACUUAAAGGAAUUGGCGGGGGAGCACCACAAGGGGUGCGGCGUGCGGUUUAAUCUAACUCAACGCAGAAAACCUCACUAGGGGCGACGGCAGGAUGAAGGUCAGGCUGAAGACCUUACUAGACAAGCCGAGAGGUAGUGCAUGGCCGCCGUCAGCUCGUGCUGUAAAGUGUCCAGUUAAGUCUGGCAACGAGCGAGACCUGUAUCUACAAUUGCUAACGACCUUUGGGAUCGAGCACAUUGUAUGGACUGCCCUGGAAACAGGGAGGAAGGCGCAGACUACGGUAGGUCUGUAUGCUCCGAAUCUCCUAGGCUACACGCGCGCAACAAUGGUAGGGACAAUGGGAUGCUACCCCGAAAGGGGACGCUAAACCUCUAAACCCUAUCCCAGUACGGAUUGAGGAUUGGAACUCAUCCUCAUGACGACGGAAUCCCUAGUAAUCAGAAGUCAUUAUCUUCUGGUGAAUAUGUCCCUGCUCCUUGCACACACCGCCCGUCAAACCAACCGAGCAGGGUUUAGAUAAAAUUUAGUUUUCUUGAUUAAAUUGAAUCUAAGCUCAGUGAGGUGGGUUAAGUCGUCACAAGGUA